UGAGUGGGAGCAUAACAGCACGUCGCCAACACGGGUACACAGAGUGAGACAGUUCAUGCGAGUCCCUCAGACUAAAGGUGUUGUGUGAGUUGAAUAGUUCCUUGAUUGUGUCACUAGACAGAUGUACAGGUCACGUGAUGAAGUGACGAACGUGCACACUCAGGACAGCGGAUAUUAAAUUAGCUUAAAUAAGAUGAGGUCUUACUUGAUGCCUGAGGAGUUGGACUGCAUCCCUGCAGAGGAAGACCGCCGAGAUGAAGGUCUGGAGUUGGAGUUCGGUGGCUGAGAUGUGCCGCUUGGAGGUUUGGUGACCAGAGGUUCCUCGUCUGAGGAGUUGUCCUCUGAUGCUCCCAGAAUGAACUUGAGGCGGUCCCUCGCCUCGGGCCCUGAGCAGAGCAUCGGCGCGGCAGCUCUGGAAGGUCUCUGGGUGGUCGCCCCUGUUGAUGGCUUUCCUGAAUUUACCUCAGAGGACGCCUGCUCAGCCUCACGCUCUUUUGUUUUGACUUCAGGACUUGCAGAGGCGCUGUCAGCCUGGAGACUGUUCUCCUCAUUGUGUUUCAAAGUAUUAGACACUGCUGACAGGGAAUGUUCGCCUGGUUGAGAGGACUGUGUAGCAGGUGGUCGUUGGCUACGUUUCCCAGCAAGGGUCCAGUGAGCAGCCAGUCUGUGACAGCUGACAUGAAUGCCAAGUGUUGGAAGCUUCAAAUGGAGUAAAGGUCAACACAGAAGGAAUGAAGAGUGAGGAGGAGGAGGAGGAGGAGGUACAACCAUCCUCACAAACAGCACUCAGGGCAUCUGAGGACACCUGAAUGAAAGACACUCAAAUAAAGAAGCAUAAAGUGAAA